CUGGGAUCCCGGCUGGCGCGCCCCCUUUCUGCAGGUGUCUAAGGUCUCAGCCGUCAGGCCGCCAGGAUGCCUUCGAAUUCACCUUCCCGAGGGUCCAGGAAGCCAGACUUUUCUAUCUGCGGCCAAGGCAGAGUCUGUGUUAGGGGCUGAGUUGCAUCCUCCUAAAAUUCAUGAAGCCCUUACCCCAGGACCUCAGAAUGAGGCUGUAUUUGGAGAUGGGGUGUUUAAAGAAGGGUUCACGGUAAGUGAGGUCGUAGGGCAGACCCUGAUCCCUUAUAGGACUGGUGUCCUUAUAAGAGGAGAUGAGGACACAGACAUGCACAGAGGGACGACCCCGUGAGGACGCAGGGAGAGGACGGUGUCCACAUGCCCAGGAGGGAGGCUCAGGAGGCCCAGCCCUGCCCACACCUGGACCUUGGGGUCCAGCCUGUGGGACGGGGGACAUAAAUAGGUGUUGUGUGACACCCCCCGUUCUGUGGUCCUUUUUACAGCAGCUGAGCUGACUCACUCCGUCUGGGACUGGGCAUGUGCGUGCACACUUUUCUUUUGGAAAGACAGUUGGGCCAAAAUAGCCCCAGACAUUUUUGAAACGUGAGUUAUUCAGUACGCAUAUAGCUGCUGCUAUGACAGAGCGAGGCCUGCUACGGGGGAGGAAUCGUGUCAAGCUGGUCGAGACACAUGGAAGCCGAUGGAUAUUAAGAAAACCUACGUGAAAGGUUAGCGACAGACUGGAUCAUGGGUAUGUGUGCACGUGAGAGUGUGAGUCGGGAUGUGAGCAUGAACGAGUUGCACUUGCGGGAUGACAAACGCCUCACUUCACGUCAUGGACAGAAGCAGGGAAGCCAGGGAAAAUCCCGUGGACAACGCCUAGGAUGCAGGGAACCUUCCCUCCCGGAUGAUGCUGUGAUGGACAGCUGGGACGAGGUAGCAGGUUGCUGAGUGAUGGGACGACACUGCCAAGGGUGAACUUGUGCUGAGAAAUACAUGUUCAUGGACAUGGACCGUAACUGCACAGAGAGGUCAGUGCAGCUUUGUGGGGAACUCAGGGGCUCCCGUGUAUUUUUCUUCUAUCUUUAGAAAAGGUUCUCAGGAUCUAGUGUCUCUGAUUUUAAUCAUAAAUAUCGAUGGCAGAUUUUUGCAGAUGCCUUGGACUUAGAGUGGCUGUAAAGUGCAGAUCUUAACUCUCUGACUUGACGAAUGUUGUCCAUCGAAGUAGCAAAUUGAGACCUCCAAGGUUUUACUUGGUCAGUUACCAUGAAAAAAUAACAUGUAUAUAUAUAUAUAUGUGCUGUGUGUACACGCGUAUUAUUUCACUUCCAAAUAUGUGUACUCAUACAGACAUAA